rnacentral:sRNA from 1 species
UAGAAUUUUCAGUGAAGGUAUCUGUCAGUAUUUAUGGCAGCUGGGUGCUUCUUGCCCUUCUUUAAGCAGUUCAGGGACUCCAAAUCUGUCAACCGUUGUGAGUAUGGAAGAGCCCUCAUUACGGGUGAGAGAGAUGCUUACUUUAACUUCAAAGGAGGGUAUAAUUUCUCUUAAAAAAGGAAACAUUGUACUUAACCCGACUACCUAGUGCAUAGUACUGGUUGAGUGAGUGAACUAGGUUUUUGUUGAUUGUAGUAGUGGUGGUUUUGUUGGUUUUGUUGUGUUUUUCUGCUUUUUGGUUGAACGUGUAAAUGAAGGCCUGAGGUUAUUUAAUUAUUUGCAAAUUCAGUAAGUAAAAUAUUUUCAAAAAGAGAAUAUUACGGAAAUCUGAAGAAAGGCUGAAAGUGGCAGUGAAGGUAUUUGUUAGAUAAUAAUUGGGAAGAAUUUCCUGGCAGAAUAGUUCAAACAUUUUCUAAGGUUCCAAAUAUGGUUGUAUAAUCUCCUUCCAUGGCGGUCUUUAAAAGAAAGAUUAUUUCUUUCCUUGAAAUAUUUUAAAGGUGAGUCUUUCUGUAGCACAUGGUGUAGUUUGUAGCAUUCUGUAAUCAUGUCAGAUUCAAAAAGUGAGAUUAACUUUUAUAUUUAUUUGCAGAAGGAUAGCUAAUCAUUCUCAAUAAGAAUAUUUAAAAUAGUGUAGGAUGAAGGGAUUGUUUAACCACUGUACCACUUAUAAACUAUUAAUCUUUAUUUGGGAUUAAAAAUAUCCUAGCAGGUUUUUUUUUUUUUUUUUUUGGAGACAGUAUCUCACUCUUUCACCCAGGCUGGAGUACAGUGACAUGAUCACAGCUUACUGUAGCCUUGACUUCCGAGACUCAAGCAAUCCUCCCCCUUCAACCUCCUCAGUAACUGGGACUACAAGUGCAUGCCUCUGUACCCAGCUAGAAUAAUAAUAGGAAAUAGUUUAUUCUCUCCUCAUCUUUUUUUUUUUUUUAAUAGAAAGGUGUUAAUCUUUACUUGGAAUUAAGAAUUUGCUACUCAGUAUUUUUUUUUUUUUUUUGAGAUGGAGUCUCGCCCUGUCACCCAGGCUGGAGUGCAGUGGUGUGAUCUCAGCUCACUGCAACCUCUGCCUCCUGGGUUCAAGUGAUCGUCCUGCCUCAGCCUCCCGAGUAGCUGGAAUUAUAGGUGUGUGCCACCAUGUCUGGCUAAUUUUUUGUAUUUUUAGUAGAGAUGGGAUUUCAAUUCACCAUGUUGGCCAGGCUGAUCUCGAAUUCCUGACCUCAAGUGAUCUACCCACCUCGGCCUCCCAAAGUGCUGGGAUUACAGGCGUGAGCCACCAUCUCCGGCCUGCUAGUCAGUAUUUUAAUAGAAGUUUGGUAAUUGUAUCUCUUGUUUUAAAAAAACACUAUUAGAAAUGGAUUGUGUCUGUAAGUGUAUGUAUAUACAUAAAUAUGCCACAUUUUAUAAUUUCUUGUCAAAAAUUAUCCAAAUUCUAGGAAUUAUAUGUAAUGAAAGGAGCACAGUAAAAAAGCUGUUCAUUAGGUUCUUUAGGGAUUCUCAUUUUUUAAUUGAAAAAAGACAUUUGUUUAAUUGAAAGUUGUUGACAUUGAUCAUAUUAAUACAGAAAAUGUUGAGUGAUUAUACUUAGGGGUUCUCAUUUUUUAAUUGAAAAAAUCUUAUUUGUUUAAUUGAAAGUGGUUGACAUUGAUCAUAUUAAUACAGUAAAUGUUAAGGGUGAUUAUAUAUAGUAGUAAUGUGUGCUUUUAAAACUAAACAUUUGAAAAUUAAAAGAAGAAAGAUUGUGAAUUUUUUGUUAGAUUUAGUUUUUCCUUUUUAUUACAAGGAAUACAUACAUACAAAUUAAAUUAUUGCCGUAAAUGAAGAAAUUGUCAUUUAUGUAGCAUUUGUAUAAUUUUAUUACUUACCUUUAGGCAUUACUAUCACGUUAACUUGGGAAGAUAGAAAUGACUAGAGUAAAUUUUCUCUUUUAUAAUAUUUGUCUAGUUGUGUUUUGUUUGUUUUUUUUUAAUCCUGUAGUUUAAGAAUGAUGUUUAAAAAACACUUUUGUUUCUCUCAGCCUCUGGAAUUGCUUUGGCACUCGUUAGAUGAAUGGCUAGUUUUAAUAGCCACAGAAUUGAUGAAAAACAAAAGAGACUCAACAGAGAUCACUUCUAUUUUACUGAAACAAAAAGGCCAAGAUCAAGAUGCUGCUUCCAUUCCUCCAUUUGAACCUCCAGGACCUGGGAGCUAUGAAAAUCUGUCCACUGGCACAAGGGAAUCUAAACCAGAUGCUCUUGCAGGGAGACAGGAAGCCAGUGCAGAUUGUCAGGAUGUUAUUUCUAUGACAGCUAACAGGCUAAGUGCUGUCAUUCAAGCUUUUUACAUGUGCUGUUCUUGUCAGAUGCCUCCGGGAAUGACUUCACCUCGUUUCAUUGAAUUUGUCUGCAAACAUGAUGAAGUUUUAAAAUGCUUUGUUAAUAGAAAUCCCAAAAUUAUAUUUGACCACUUUCACUUUCUCCUUGAAUGUCCUGAGUUGAUGUCAAGAUUCAUGCAUAUCAUAAAAGCACAGCCUUUUAAAGAUCGCUGUGAAUGGUUCUAUGAACAUUUGCAUUCAGGACAGCCAGAUUCAGACAUGGUGCACAGGCCAGUGAAUGAAAAUGAUAUCCUGCUGGUUCACAGAGAUUCUAUUUUUAGGAGUAGCUGUGAAGUUGUGUCAAAAGCAAAUUGUGCAAAGCUAAAGCAAGGGAUUGCUGUACGGUUCCAUGGAGAAGAAGGCAUGGGUCAAGGUGUUGUGCGUGAGUGGUUUGAUAUUCUGUCCAAUGAGAUAGUCAAUCCUGAUUAUGCAUUGUUUACCCAGUCAGCUGAUGGAACAACUUUUCAGCCUAAUAGCAACUCUUAUGUAAAUCCUGAUCACUUGAACUAUUUUCGGUUUGCUGGGCAGAUCUUGGGAUUAGCGUUGAACCACAGGCAGCUGGUCAAUAUUUACUUCACACGAUCCUUCUACAAGCACAUUCUUGGUAUUCCUGUAAAUUACCAAGAUGUGGCAUCCAUUGAUCCAGAAUAUGGGAAAAAUUUGCAAUGGAUUUUAGAUAAUGAUAUAAGUGAUCUGGGUCUAGAACUAACUUUUUCUGUUGAGACUGAUGUGUUUGGAGCAAUGGAAGAGGUGCCUUUGAAACCUGGGGGUGGGAGUAUUCUUGUGACACAAAAUAAUAAAGCGGAGUACGUCCAGCUUGUUACUGAACUUCGAAUGACAAGAGCCAUUCAGCCUCAGAUCAAUGCUUUUUUACAGGGCUUUCAUAUGUUCAUUCCACCCUCCCUCAUACAGCUUUUUGAUGAAUAUGAAUUGGAGCUACUGCUUUCUGGCAUGCCAGAAAUUGAUGUGAGUGAUUGGAUAAAAAAUACAGAAUACACAAGUGGCUAUGAAAGAGAAGAUCCAGUUAUUCAGUGGUUCUGGGAAGUUGUAGAAGACAUUACUCAAGAGGAGAGAGUUCUUCUCUUACAGUUUGUUACGGGCAGUUCCAGGGUCCCACAUGGUGGGUUUGCUAAUAUCAUGGGUGGAAGUGGAUUGCAAAACUUUACAAUCGCUGCUGUGCCAUAUACUCCAAAUCUUUUACCAACUUCAAGCACAUGCAUCAACAUGCUCAAGUUACCUGAAUACCCAAGUAAAGAAAUACUCAAGGACAGACUUCUUGUGGCACUACAUUGUGGCAGCUAUGGUUACACAAUGGCAUAAUGAAGUCUGGAAAACUCCUCUGACUACUGAUGCACAAUUCAGAAUGGCAGAAGUAAUUUGGGAAAAUGUCAACAAAAAAGCAGCCUAAAUGCAACCCAUAGGCAGGGCUGAUGCUUCCAAUUUAUAAAGGAUCAUCAGGUUUUCUGUUUCUCUCUUUUCCCUUUUAUGUUUUCUCUGUUUGUGAUACAAUUAGAAAAUAUAAAAUCACAGUAGAUUUUAUUUUUUUAAAUGCUAACGGAAAGUAAUAGAGACUGUCCUUUUUCAUAAUUAAUUUUAUCCAAGACUGUAUUAAGGCAAAAUCUGAUUCUACAUUCCACCUCUGCUAUGUAACUGUCUUGUUAAAAGGGUGUUUUCUCUUAAUUUCUGAUAUAUUAUAUGAGGUCAUCCAGCUGGUAUGUUCUUUUGCAUGUAAACUGCCAUUUAUAUUUUAGAAAAUUAUUGUAUAGAAUGGAUUUAGAUUGUCUAUAAAGCCACAAAUACGUAUUUUGCCACAGUGUAUUCUAUAUUGCAAUGAUUUUUUUAGCAUUUUAAUAUUUUAAUAUAUAUUGUAAAAUUUAGACUGAUGAUACUAACAGUUGAUGAAAUGACAUAUAAUUUAUAUAUUAAAGCUUACACUAUAUUGUAUGAAUUACUUGCAUCUUUCAGUGGCCAGUUUUCCAUAUGUAUAUAUUAUGGUCUCAAUGUUUUUCUUAUGCCUCAUUUUAAUUUUUAAUGAAGGUAAAAUUAAAAUGUAUUUUACCACAUUUCUUUUCCUUACUUUUAUCUGUGAGCUCUGACACAUCUGAAAAAGUAAUCUGAUGUGCAAAUUAUAAUUUAAAUAUGUUAAUUUUUUUGCUUCUUAAAUUUGCUUUUCAUCAUUAAAAUGUCAAGUUCAAGUGAUAUGUGCCUAAUAUCACUUGGAUGUUGGUGGGUUUUUGAAUUUUUGGGUGGUUAAUCAGUUUUAUUUUGAAAAGACGUACUUGAAAAGUUACAGCAUAUGUUUGAACAGGAAGUAGGAACAUGCAUACACGAAGAAAUGCUAACGGAAGGAUUUGUAAUGUUUAGGAUCUUCCCUUGGAAACUAAAAAUAGAAUAUUAAUGACAUUACUGUUUGUAGAAUGACAUAUGCAGAUUUUCUUAUAAGCAGUCAUUAUGUUUGCCAGUAAUGUUUGAGAGACAUGUAAGUUGAAAGUUUUGCUAAAUUAUAAAGCUCCUUUAAUUCAUUGGUUUUGGUUCUCUUGUUCUCUUGUCUUUUCUAAAUGUUAACAAAAUAUAUCUUAACAGAUUACAUGAAAUUUAGGAAUUAUUUAAAAGUUACCAUUAGCUCUAAAAUUAAGAUUCAGAUGCUUUAUUUAUAGUAACUGAAGCUAAUAAUGUUUUAUGUUUUGAUUUUUUGAAAUUUAAUUGUAGAAGUCACUGCCUUCUGAGUUUUCAAAUAGAUAACCACCUUUAAUAUUACACUGCUUAUAAUACUAAUGUUUACAGAUAUGUUUCUGUUUAUAACCAUACAAUACAUUGGCUUUGUCAUAUUAGUUUUUUUUGCAAGUAGUUGUGUAAAAGAGAUAGAUAAUAAAAUAUUAAAUAACUG